rnacentral:rRNA from 1 species
UACGGAGGGGGCGAGCGUUAUUCGGAAUUAUUGGGCGUAAAGGGCGCGUAGGCGGCUGUACAAGUCAAAGGUGAAAUCCCUCGGCUCAACUGAGGAACUGCCUUUGAAACUGUACGCUUGAGGCCGGGAGGGGGUAGCGGAAUUCCCAGUGUAGCGGUGAAAUGCGUAGAGAUCGGGAGGAACACCAGCGGCGAAGGCGGCAAACUGGAUAGGCACUGACACUCAACAACGAAAGCGUGGGGAGCAAACAGG